rnacentral:tRNA from 2 species
GGGGCAUUAGCUCAGUUGGGAGAGCGUUGCACUGGCAGUGCAAAGGUCAGCGGUUCGAACCCGCUAUGCUCCACCA